GGAGAGGACGUAGAAAAGCGAAGGAGAGGAAGGAUGAAGAAAGUAGAAGAAAGUAGAGAAGGGAGGAGGAAGGUUUGUUAAGGAAGGAAGUGGUAGCUGGGCAGGUCCGAAUAAGUAACAAAUGAAAGUUAAUGAUUAAUGUUGAAUAAGAGACUGUAUAUUUAAUAGGUUGUUGGAAAAUGAAAAUAAAACUUUAAAAAAAAAAAAAAAGAAACUGCCUGACGGUGAGAACUGCUUGCCACCCGGUGUUGUGGAUGCUUCAUCAUUUUUCAAGGGAAAAUAGGACACUCAUUUGACUUGAAUGGUAGUAUAUAAGGCUCCUGCCUUGAGCAAGGGGUUGAACUAGAAAACCUCCAAGGUCCCUUACAACCUUAUGAUUCAAUAUUGUGAAGAACUCAGUUAAGGACCUGCCUCUCUUUUGCCAUCUUAACUCUUUCCUCUUCAGAUUCAGAGAAGUUUUUUCCUAUAUGUGCACUAACGUUUGUGCUUACAAACAACCCAUAAACAGAGUCACUUGGCUGAGUUGGGUGGCUAUGGAAAUUGAUUUCCCCACCCAGUUGUCUGCAAUUUAGUUAAGCAACUGGUGGCUGAUGGUAAGUACUGUGGCCCCAUAUAACUUUGGGCAUGUAGGGUAUAAAAUAAAUAACUAAGGGGGCUUCCCUCCAUUGCACUUCUCAUCUUUUAUCUUUAUCUUUUAUUGUUUUGAUGGUAAAUUGUUUGACUGUUACUAAUUUCCCAGAGACACCGAAGAAGCACAAGGCAGCUGACAAAAAACUUUGGAGAUAAUAAACUGUUUCUCAAGAGGCAACCUUUUCUCACAAGAAAGAAAGAAGCUGGUGAGAAAGAUUUGAAGAGUGGGAAAUGAUGGCUGGUGAUGCUCUGAAGUGUUGAAGGUCUGUCCUUUCCUGGUGAUCCUGGGACAAGACUCUUGAAAUAUCCCUGGGUGCAGUCCAGAGAAGAUGGGCGUUGGCUGCAAGGGAGAGACAGCCUUGGGGCAAAGGAAAUCAGGUGCUGGCAGCCCAAGAGAAAAUGCCUGCUGACGUAAUAGCUCAACUCUAUGGAGAAAGGGGGUUGUAGGGAAACAAUUAAUCACUGCCAAAUUCCUAUUCCUAUUUAGCUGAAGCAGAGAAGGGAAGAAGGUGUGGGUGGAAGAUAGGUACUAUGCAUUAACUGCCUCAACAGAAUACUGCAUACAUUAUUCCACAGAGAUAGAAAAUGUUUUCCAUAGUUUACAGAUUAUUUUGGGGUGGUGCAGAAGUCUGGAUUUCCUAUGAAACAGAAGGAUUGGAUCAAUGCUACUCUCCAUUGUGGAAGAUAAGAAUCGGAGGCAAAUAUGGAAGGCCACCAGAUGCUUACCUCCCCAUUAUCUAUGACUGCAACGGAAGAAGUUUGACCGCAGGCAAUGCUGACUGCUACCUUAGCCUGUAAACAAUUGGAGACCCUGCGAGGAGUUGGCUGGUUUGCAGUUGAUCCCGACCCGACUUGUCCACAGUUGUUAUAGCCCCAGGCGUAUACCUUUUAACAAAGGACAAAGAGGGAGAGACACCAAGGAAGCAUAGGACAAACCUUACUAGAACUUUAUAAUGCUGGGAAAAAUGGAAAGAAAGAAGAAAGAGGAUGACCAGAAGCAAGAUGGAUGGUUGAACUUAUUUACAACAACAAUGGGCGCAUGGUUGGAAGAUCUGGAGCUUGCAGAAAAUCUAUCUGUUGGUUGAAAAGACUUGACAGCAACUUGAUGGGAUAUAAUUUAUCAAUCAACUAAAGGAACAUAAAUGGGAAUGUUAUCCAGCAUGAUCGCAAACUAAACUUCCAACAGGCUUUAAACAUGCACUUACUUUAGUUUUAAAAACCUAACUUCUAAAUACUUGUUGACACAAGGAAUGUUGUUUCACCAUAUAUUUUUUUUAAAAAUUAAAAAGGAGUGAGCAUUCAAUUUCUGUCUUCUGUGGACCAUCACCCUAUGACCCUCAGUCACUGAGAGAAACUCACACACACACACACCCCAAAAAAAUGCAGCCCAUGGCUGCAAAAAAAUCUGUCCAGCUUACUUGAGGGGAAAAAAAGUGGCAAAUGCAACUCACAACAAGAUGAUGGGCUCCACUGACAGAAGCAGACUCCCUUUUUGCAUGUUCCAAUUCCCUAACUAAGAAUCAAGUGCUUAGAUUUGUGCCUCUAAUACUGCUCAGAAAAAGUU